GACGUAGAGCGCGAGCGUUGUCCGGAUUUAUUGGGCGUAAAGAGCUCGUAGGCGGCUUGUCGCGUCGAAUGUGAAAUCUCGGGGCUCAACUCCGAGCUUGCAUUCGAUACGGGCAGGCUAGAGUUCGGUAGGGGAGACUGGAAUUCCUGGUGUAGCGGUGAAAUGCGCAGAUAUCAGGAGGAACACCGGUGGCGAAGGCGGGUCUCCGGGCCGAUACUGACGCUGAGGAGCGAAAGCGUGGGGAGCGAACAGG
rnacentral:rRNA from 1 species